UGAAUAUCCAUAUCUUUCAGCAACCAUGUAUUCACCGUACAAUAUUUGAUCUGUUCUAACUCCUCCAAACAAAACGACCGAAGAAUAUGGACGUUACCGUCGAUCUCUUAAAUCCCUUCAACCAGCCAUUUUAAACUCCAGUUAAAAACCUAUCAGCUGUGCCCUUUUCCCCAUUCCGCCUACCUCCAUUGCGUCGCACAACCACCGCAACGCCUUCGUUCGCCCCUAUGGAAUUGGCCGAAAUCGUCAGCGCACUUGAACCAGACUCAAUCUUAACCACCGCUGCCAUUGAAUGAACGGCCAACCGGGUGUGUUUCCUUUAUUUCUUUUUGCCUGUGUGAACCAGCCACACGAUAUUCCCAUCGGUUCUCAAUCAGUUCUACGUCAGCCACUAAGGUCCACGUAUUUGUUAAAGACGAUUCACUUUGCUUUCCUUGCUAAUAAGGUAAUAUGGGAUGAUCUGGGAUUUCAGUGAGGAGCGUUAGGAAGUUGCUGGCGGCGACUAUUUAUUUCAGUAAUGUAAUAAACGUGAUUAGGAUCUUUAUUUAAUUUUAUGGAAUAAGGGGUGAACGCCACACUCACCAUCUCAUAGGUGCAU